GGCGCCGGUCUCCCGCAAGCAGCGGCUCAUGGCAGCCGUGGGCGAGCGGGCGGCGGGCGGCGGCGGCGGCGCGCCGCUCUCCUGCUUCAUCUGCGGCGGCGGCAUCGGGCGCGGCAAGGAGCUGAAGCUGCAGGUGAAGCAGCCGGCGGCGGCGGCGGGCGCGGGGGCCCCGGCGCAGCCCUUCUUCCCGUUCCUGCAGCAGCAGGAGCCGGCGCCCGGCGCGCGCGAGCUGUCCCCGGCCGACGGCUGCGUGCUGGUGUGCGCCGUGUGCCGCUGCUUCCUGGGCGAGCAGUGGGCCGCCUUCGAGCGCGCCCGCACGCCCGUGGACAAGCGCAUGUACUGGCUCAAGCGGCCCCACCAGUGCGACGCGGGCGCGGGCGGGCGCCGCGGGGGCGCCGGGGCCCCCCGCGAGUGGAACGUCGCCUACGCGCUGGGCGGCGCGGCCGACGACGACGAAGACGGCGGCGGCGGCCCCGGGCCCCGCGCGGCCCCCGAGGAGCCUCGAGAUUCCGAGCUGUCGGAGCUGUCGGACACAGACCCCUUCUCCGAGCCCGACCCCGCCGCGCGCGACGCCGCCAGUCCCCGCCAGGACGGGGCGCCAGCGGCGCGGGCCGCCCCCGGGCCCGGGCCUCGCGGGGGCCGCUGCCCGGAGUGGAGGCCGGCGCCGGGACCCCCUCCGGGACUGGGCGCGGAGACCCCCACGCCGGGGGACCUGGAGGACGACGGGAUCCCCUCGAAGCUCCACGUGGACGGGGAGCCCAGGGCCGGCAUCCGGCGCCGGCGCAAGGGCGCUGGGAGGCCCUGGGCCCCAGAGGCCCGGGCCAGCGUCCUGAGGGGCCUUCCGGACCCUUGGCAAAGGCCUCCGGUCCAAGGCGCCCCUGCAGAGGGCGUGAAAGGAGCCCCUCUGGGCAGGGCCGCCAAGACUGCCGAGAGCAAACCGCUGGCGGAGACGCGCGCUUCUGAGGACAGUGACGUCAACAUCACCAGCGAGGAGGAGGACCGCAAGGAGCAGCCUCUCCCAGGCCCCUGCUGCCCCAGAGACCAGGACGCCGCUGGCGGGGGCCGUGCCCCCCGGGCUCCCCUGGAGAGCCGGGCUGCACCACCAGAGGGCCUUUGCUGCUACAUCUGUGGGUGUGCGCUGUCCCCGGCCUCGCAGCACCAGAUCCACGUGCAGAAGCAGGAGAAGCUGGCCCAGGCGCCCUUCUUCCCCUUCCUGUGGCUGCACAGCCCGCCCCCGGGGGCGCAGCCCAUCAGCGAGGGUGGCAGCACCCUGGUGUGCCCCUGCUGCUUCUCCUCCCUCAUGCAGCAGUGGCAAAGCUUCGAACUGGCCAACGUGCCGGUCCUGCAGCGGCUCUACGUGGUGCCCCUGAACAGCCACGCUCCCGGCAUGGCCUCCAAGGGCAGGAGGCUCCCCAGGGAAGAGGGCCCGCCUGCCGGGGCCCUGCCAGAGGCCUGCUACCUCUGCGGGGAGGACUGUACGCGGGAUGCCCGGGCCGUGGCCUGCAGGACCCUCAACGGCAACGCCAGGGGCUCCAUGCAUUUCCCGUUUCUCAGCCUCCUGCCCUGCCCGCCCAACGCCCAGGGCCCCAACAAGCGCUGUGAGGUCCGCAGCUGCCCCAAGUGCUUCAGCGUCCUGGAGGACGUGUGGGCCCUGUACCGGGCCUGCCAGAACGAGGAGCUCAUCACCUCUGUGCAGGGCUUCUUGGGCCGGUACCACCAGGCCUUCUCAGCCUCGGACCCUGCGCUCUGCGAGCCGCCCGCCUCGGCCCAGGGUGGCCCGGCCUCCGUCUGCUACAUCUGCGGGGCCGAGCUGGGCCCCGGCAAGGAGUUCCAGCUCAACGUGAACCCCUCCAGCCGCCUGGGCGAGAAGGAGCCCUUCUUCCCCUUCCUCACUGUCUACCCGCCGGCCCCGCGCGCCAGGCCUGCCGACUCCACCGGCCUGGUGGCCACCUGCGUGCUCUGUUACCAUGACCUGCUGGGCCAGUGGCUGCAGCACGAGGCCCGCAGCGCCCCCCACGCCAUCAGCCCCUGGUCACGGCAGUACCAAGUGGAGAUAUUCGUGUGCUUCUUCUGCCAGCAGGAGAAGAAGCGGUGUCUCGGGCUCAAGGCCGUGCGGGUGGCCCGGCUGCCCUUGUUUCUGUACACCCUUCGAGCGAGCCACAGCCUGCUCGUGGACGAUGGGCGACAGCUGAUCAUCGGCGCCUGCACGGAGUGCGGGACCCUGGUGUGUGCUGGCCAAGGGCUCACCCGCCAGGGACCCACGGGCUGGAGCUCCCCAGGGGCGGCGGCGAGGAAGGUCACCUCUGCUUCUCUCGAGGCAUCGACGGCUGUCCACCCUCCCAGCCGGGAGCCAGGACCUCGGCCGGGCGCACCAGCAGAGAGCCUGACCAGGGGCUCCAGGACUGCCCCAGAGCAGGGGCCAGCCCGCGGUCAGCAGAGCAGCCUGGACACGGCCGGAGCAGACCUUGUGGGCACAGGCAUGAGCCAUGAGCCCAAGUCCCCUUCACUAGGGAUGCUUUCCACCGCGACCAGGACCACCGCCACCGUCAACCCCCUCACCCCCUCGCCGCUCAAUGGCGCCCUGGUGCCCAGUGGCAGCCCCGCCACCAGCAGCGCGCUGUCGGCCCAGGCCGCGCCGUCCUCCAGCUUUGCCGCCGCGCUGCGCAAGCUCGCCAAACAGGCGGAGGAGCCCAGAGGGUCUUCACUGAGCAGCGAGUCGUCCCCCGUGUCCUCUCCGGCCACCAACCACAGCUCCCCGGCCAGCACGCCCAAGCGCGUGCCCAUGGGCCCCAUCAUCGUCCCCCCCGGGGGCCACAGCGUCCCCAGCACGCCCCCCGUGGUGACCAUCGCCCCCACCAAGACGGUCAAUGGCGUCUGGAGGAGCGAGAGCCGCCAGCAGGACGCUGGCUCUCGGGGCAGCAGCAGCGGCCGGGAACGCCUCAUUGUGGAGCCCCCGCUGCCCCAGGAGAAGGCGGGGGGCCCGGCCAUCCCCUCGCACCUGCUCAGCACCCCCUACCCCUUCGGCAUCUCCCCCAGCUCGGUGGUACAGGACUCCCGCUUCCCACCGCUCAACCUCCAGCGGCCCGUGCACCAUGUGGUGCCCCCCAGCUCGGUGACCGAGGACUACCUGAGGAGCUUCCGGCCCUACCACACCACCGAGGACCUCCGCGUGUCCUCCCUGCCUCCCCUGGGCCUGGACCCGGCCACCGCCGCUGCCUACUACCACCCCAGCUACCUGGCCCCGCACCCCUUCCCUCACCCAGCCUUCAGGAUGGACGACUCCUACUGCCUGUCGGCCCUGCGGUCCCCCUUCUACCCCAUCCCUGCCCCCGGCUCCCUGCCCCCGCUGCACCCGUCAGCUGUGCACCUCCACCUCUCCGGGGUCCGCUACCCGCCUGAGCUCCCGCACUCGUCCCUGGCCGCGCUGCACUCGGAGCGGAUGUCCAGCCUCAGCGCCGAGAGGCUGCAGAUGGACGAGGAGCUGAGGCGGGAGAGGGAGCGCGAGCGAGAGCGGGAAGCCGACCGCGAGCGGGAGAAGGAGCGCGAACGGGAGCGGGAGAAGGAGCGCGAGCGCGAGAAGGAGCUGGAGCGCGAGCGCGAGAAGGAGCGGGAGCUGGAGCGCCAGCGGGAGCAGCAGCGCGCCCGCGAGAAGGAGCUGCUGGCCGCCAAGGCGCUGGAGCCGGCCUUCCUGCCGGUGGCCGAGCUGCACGGGCUGCGGAGCCACGCCACCGAGGAUCGCGGCAAGCCCUCCGAGCAGCUGACCCCGACCCGAGCAGAGAAGCUGAAGGAUGCGGGCCUGCAGGCGCCCAAGGCCGUGCAGCACCCCCUGCACCCGGCGCCCACUCCCCACCACCCGGUGCCCAGCCUCCUCUCCAACCAUGGCCUCUUCUCGCUCCCGGGCAGCAGCGCCGCCACGGCCCUGCUCAUCCAGCGCACCAACGAGGAGGAGAAGUGGCUGGCGCGGCAGCGGCGGCUGCGGCAGGAGAAGGAGGACCGGCAGUCGCAGGUGUCCGAGUUCCGGCAGCAGGUGCUGGAGCAGCACCUGGACAUGGGCCGGCCCCCGGCGCCUGCAGAGACGGAGCACAGGCCUGAGAGCGCCAGGCCGGGACCAAACCGACACGAGCCGGGCAGCCGAGACCCCCCGCAGCACUUCGGGGGGCCCCCGCCCCUCAUCUCGCCCAAGCCGCAGCACCACUCCGUGCCCACGGCCCUCUGGAACCCGGUGUCCCUGAUGGACAGCGCGCUGGAGACGCGGCGGGCCCCCGAGAGCCACGCCCUGCACAGCCACCCGGCGCCGUUCGAGCCCAGCCGCCCGGCGGCCGUCCCGCUGGUGAAGGUGGAGAGGGUCUACGGCCCGGAGAAGGCGGAGGAGGGGCCCCGCAAGCGCGAGGCCACCCCCCUGGACAAGUACCAGCCGCCGGCCCGGGAGGCGGGCAGCCUGGAGCCGCAGGCCUUCCCGCACGGGCCCGGGCCCUUCCUGGCCGAGCUCGAGCAGUCCGCCCAGACGGUCCUGGGCCAGCCGCGGGCCUCGCUCGCCCAGCCAGUGCCCUUUGGGGAGCUCGCCGGGCCCCUGAAGCCCGGCUCGCCCUACCGGCCCCCCGCGCCGCGGGGCCCCGACCCCGCCUACAUCUACGACGAGUUCCUGCAGCAGCGCCGGAGGCUGGUCAGCAAGCUGGACCUGGAGGAGCGCAGGCGGCGGGAGGCGCAGGAGAAAGGGUACUACUACGACCUGGACGACUCCUACGACGAGAGCGACGAGGAGGAGGUCAGGGCGCACCUGCGCUGCGUAGCCCAGCAGCCGCCCCUCAAGCUGGACACGUCCUCCGAGAAGCUAGAGUUUUUGCAACUUUUUGGCUUGACCACCCAACAGCAGAAGGAGGAGUUGCUGACCCAGAAGCGGAGGAAGCGGCGGCGGAUGCUGAGGGAGAGAAGCCCGUCGCCCCCGACGGUUCAGAGCAAGCGGCAGACGCCUUCGCCGAGACUGGCGCUGUCCACCCGCUACAGCCCCGACGAGAUGAACAGCAGCCCCAACUUCGAGGAGAAGAAGAAGUUUCUGACCAUCUUCAGCCUGGCCCACGUCAGCGCCGAGAAGAGGAAAGACGAGGAGAAGCUUGUUGAGCUGCUCCAUGCCAUGAAGCAGAAGGCACUGUCAGCCAGGGCAGACCCGCUCAGGAGCUCUCCGAGGGACAGUCCCGCUGUCUCCCUGAGCGAACCAGCCACGCAGCCCGCCUCUCUGGAUACGGAGAAGCCUGUGGGCAUCGCCGCCUCCCUGCCUGACGUGCCGAAGGCACCGGAGCCCGCGAGACUGGAGCCGCUCCGGCCCCAGGAGCGAGGGCAGGAGCCGGCGCCCACCGGCGGCGAGAAGGCCAGGCUGAGCGAGACCCCCGGCGGCAGGAAGAGCCUGAGCAUGCUUCACUACAUCCGGGGCCCCGCGCCCAAGGACGUCCCCGUGCCGCUGUCGCACAGCGUCAACGGCAAGAGCAAGCCGUGGGAGCCCUUCGUGGCGGAGGAGUUUGCACAUCAGUUCCACGAGUCCGUCCUGCAGUCCACGCAGAAGGCCCUGCAGAAGCAUAAAGGCGGUGCAGCGGUGCUGUCUGCAGAGCAGAACCACAAGGUCGACGCCUCCGUCCACUACAACAUUCCCGAGCUGCAGUCCUCCAGCAGGCUGCCUCUGCCCCAGCACAAUGGGCAGCAGGAGCCCCCCGCUGGCAGGAAGGGCCCCCUGGCGCAGGAGAUGGACCCAGACUCCGAGGAGGAGGAGGAGGACGGGGAGGAGGAGGAGGAGGAGCCCCCCCGGCGCAAGUGGCAUGGGAUUGAGGCAAUUUUUGAAGCUUACCAGGAACACGUGGAAGGUAGGCAGGGGAGGGGAAGCGGGCCGGGCGCCCACCACCAAAGGGAGAGGAAGCUUCGUCGUGCCAGAGUGCACUGCCAGCGUCGGGACUGUCUCUAAGGGAUGGCACGAGGCACUGCCCAUGUCAGGGAGGGCAGGCUCCUGUUACACGGGUCCUAGAAUGUACAAAUCUGGUCCACUUCGCAGAGCCUCCCUUAGCCGGGCCUGGUCGCCUCCUGAGCCCUCAUGACGUGUGAAGAGUCUCAGGGUUAUGGCACUUCCCCCAAGGGCACCUGUGUGCAGGGAGGAGAGCCCUUGUCUGCCACCAGAGAGCCACCUCCUCAGCUGGGAGCGCUCGCUCCGCCCAGCCUGAGGAGGCCCCGCUGGAGGGGGGCCGAGACCCGCCUUGCCCACAUGGCCUCUGCUUGGGGUGAAAGGCUCUGUUCCCACCUUUCUCUGCGCCUUGUUCCUUCCUGGCGCUGCCUGCAGAGGCGUCUGUUAUAGACACAGGCUGCGGCCCAUGCGCUGGCUGCAGGAGCAGACAGGCCCCCCUGCCCUCCCUUCCCUAGCAGAACGGGCAGGGGGGCCGGUUUGGAGCUGAGCACUGACCGGGUGCUCGGAGGCCUGGCUCUCAGCCCCGCUGUGGUCCUGCUGCUCCGCCACCCUCACCCUGUAGGCAGCUCAGGGCGUUGGGUUGAUGGGAGGUGGUGGACGUGCCAGCCACAGCUGGAAAAGCCAGGCUCCUGCCGCCUCCCAGCUCUCUGUCUUCCCUGUCAUGAGGAGCUGGGAUUUUUAGCAUGUCGGUGUUGCAAAGACUACUUGCAAACAAAAGCAGUGCAGACCUCACCUCCACCGCCUGAGUUAUCAACUCUGCUUCCUCUUCUCCUCCAAAUGGAGUUCUCAUUUCGAAUCUCUCGUUCUGGAAGUGUGUAUACACGCAUCAGAAGGAUAUUUAGCAGUAUUUUUAUUGUGGGGGGCAGGUGUUACCAUCUUCUCAGGCUGAGGUUUUGGGUGUUUUUGGGGGGAGUUCCUUCCCUGCUCUCAAGGACAUGAUGUUAUAAUUGUUACCUUCGGAGUUCUGCUUUUCUUGUGCCUCGAAGUUCGUUCUGUGGCUGCAGUCUGUGGUAGAAAUCCAGCGCCCUCUUUCCCCCCCACCCCAGCAACCUGUCGUCCCGCUGUUGUACGGGUGCCCCCGUCCCCGGUGUGCCCGCUGUCCUGGAUCGUGCGAGAGCAUAGCAGCGCCCCAGGGUCUAGAGCAGCGCACCCGGACUUCUUUGCGGACAGCUCCGAUCUUGGCCCUUGGCUCUCCCUGCUGAAUUUUCGGAUCGCCGCCUUUGUUCCACCCACAAGACUCGCGAGUUCGGUUUUCAGCUGCAUGGAGUUUACAGACGCAGGGAGGAUGGACGUACUGGAUAGUGCUGCCAUUCCCCCGGUGAACAUGGCCUUCAACUGUCCCAUUUUUGCUCCAAGAGCAGUUUACUUCCAUCAUAGUGGAUUUAGUUGUGGGUAUCACUUAGUUAUUGCGGAUUUUUUUAGUUUUUGUCACCCCUUAUUCCCUAGAUAAUCAUAGAUGAUCAGACCUAUGCUUCGUUCUUUCCUUUUGCAUUUGUAUGCGUUUCCUUUUUCUUGAGUCACACUGCAUUGCCUACCACCUCAGGCUCAAAUAGGGGCGCCCCUUGGUGAAACUUGAGAAGCGCUCCAAGGAUAAGCCCUCACCUUUCCUGCUGCGGGGAUGGUGCGUGUGGCUGUGGAAAUGGACGAGCGUGUCCUCUAGGCCUGUGGAGGUGACAGCCUCCCGUUUUUCACCUUUCGGUGUUCCCCUUCCGUGCUGAACCUGUUGGUGCUUCUGAGACUUUUUUCCCUCUGUGUCCUCAGCCGGUAUUGCUCUUUCGUUUUGCUCUGAGGAUUGUUGGGGUGUCUGGAACAUCCCUCAGGUAGCCUUUGCUGGUUUCCAUUCUCUGAAACACUUCAUGUAAAGCAGGGAUUUAUUCUUGAAGGUUUGAAGUAACUCUCGUUGAAACCAGGCUGUCUUUUGGAAAGGCAGAGAUUUCGUUUUACUAAUUAAAACUAUACUUUAUACAUUUCUAACAGCUUAAAAGCUUUCAAGCCCCUAACCCCUUAUCUUUUUUAUCUUUCUUUUUGAAAAAUGCAGUUCAAGGCUGUAAAUUCACUCUUAAUUACUUCCUCAUCGCUAUCCUUGAAAUUGCCUUUUGAGGCUGGCGCCCUGGUCUUUCUUCCACUGGCUUGAAUUUGCUUUAGCCACACUUAGCCAUUUGCUAGCACGACAGAAAAGGCCGGGCGCCCUGGGGUCCAACGGAGAGGACCUUGCUGGCUGCACAAGCCCAAGGGGGACCCUCACCAGCCCUAUGGCCCCUGCAUGCUGGAAACGUGUCAACGUCACUUGUCUUUCCAGAGCAAAACCUGGAGCGGCAGGUGUUACAGACGCAGUGCCGGCGGCUGGAGGCCCAGCACUACAGCCUCAGCCUCGCGGCUGAGCAGCUUUCCCACAGCAUGGCGGAGCUGAGGAGCCAGAAACAGAAGAUUGUUUCAGAAAGGGAGCGCCUCCAGGCCGAACUGGAUCACUUACGGAAGUGCCUUGCGUUGCCGGCCAUGCACUGGCCCCGGGGUUACUUGAAGGGGUACCCCAGGUGACGCUCCGUCGCACGAGGCCGAACCUAGAGUAGAGAAAUAGUAUCUAUUUUAUUACCUUGAAUAUUUAAUAUUUUUCACUGGGAGGUUUGAAGCUUAAAACAAUGAGAAUGUGCCAUGCAUGAAGCAAAGGAUUCCAGGCCCCAGAAAAAGAACGGACUCGCCUCGGCUUCCAAUGCCAUUCAGUCGUCUUGGUCAUCAGCCAGCAGCCACGUAGACGCCCCUAGUUUUUCUUUCUGGAGGUGGUUUUAGUCUUUCCCCACGUCAUCGUUGUUCAGCUGAAAGCGGACGCUCCGUCACCAACACUAACACGUGGUCCUCUCUCGCCCCUGGGGUUGUGUGUUCCGGAGUCUGGAGCAGGAGCGGCCGCUCGGCUCCCGCUGCGGUGGGCGCGGGUCUCGGUCCUCGGGGCCGGAGGGAGGCCUGCUCCAGCUCCCGGAAGGUGGGGUGCGUUUUAAGUUAAAGGGCUUAUUUGUUUCAGUUACUUUUCCGGAAAAUUCCCUUCCAAGCACCAGGUCCUAGGAGCACACAAAGCAGCCGUACUGAAGCCUCAGCCCAAGGCUUUUCCCCGGAAAAGCUCUCACCUAGAGAGAAAGCCCAUCAGCCAACGGAAGGUACCUUUUUGUCACUCCACGGGCACACGCGCAGAGCUCUGUGCGUGCGUUGAGUCACAGCCACGGAUCGUUCCUGCCGUGGGGGGUGUUUUCAUACAAACGUCAAUUUUGAGAGAAUAGUCAAAGGUGCUUCAGCCUUGUACUGUGUAUAUAUAUUAAAAAACAAAGUUUUGUAUGUUUUUAUUACUUUAAUUAUUGUUAUAAAAAGCCUGCCAUUUUUAAUAUGUGGUUUGGGGGGAUUUUUGUUGUUUUCCUGUUUGGGGGUUUUGUUUGUUUUUUGUUUUGUUUUUCUGGGCAAAAAAGAAAAAAAAAACCCUUGCUUUUAGUGUUUGUACUGCUGCUGGUCAGGACAUUAAAAUACUGAAGUGUUUUUAAAAAUUAAAAAAGAAGAAAAGUAAAAGAGCUUACCACUGGCGCCUAUGCGGUCGCUUCAUUUCCGAGUUGCCACCAGAAAGUGCCGUGGAGCCGCCACGCUGCCGCUUCCCUCCUGCUGGCCCCUCCUGGCUCCGGAUGGCCGAGAGCCCCUGGGGCCCGUUGCUGUCCAGCGAGGAGGGGCGGCUCGAGGCCCUCUGCGUGCCGUCACGCGCGCCCAGCACAGCACCCAGCCCCGGGCUUUGCUCAGAGGCCCUUUCAGGAAGUGAGCGGUUUCUGUGCUAGGUUCUAGGGUGUCUCACAGCAGUCGGAGAGCAGGUGCAGAGUAGAAACGUUAGCGGCUUUUUUAGAGGCAGAGCUUUGUAACAGCCUCAAAGUGGGGUGAACAAUGAGCAGAACGUCUCCCCCUCUUGCACCUGCCGUGACAGGCACAGGAGCAGCUGGACAGGGAUGACCCGUGUGAAGCCUGGGGCGGGGAGAGGCGGGGGCUUCCCUCUGAGCCCACUUAUUGCUUGUUCAGGCAGGGUUUGAGCUCAAUCAAGAAGGCAUCUCUUGCCUGAAGGGCCUGAACCAGAGACCAGAGCAGCCAGGGGUCAGUCAGCCUUGGGGGCGAGGGGAGGAAGCUGGAGCCUUGCACUGCGGGCGCCCCCUGCCCUGGGCUGGGGCCAGGGCUGGCGGACUGUCAGGAAGGCCACUCACAGUGAGCAGGGCCGUGCCCUCAGCCCCAGACCGCACCCGCGCACGACAGCUUGCUGGCAGAUGGCGCUGCGUCGCUUUCUCUGUUCCCACACAGUUUGCAUUGUCUGCCUGCCAGGAACCUUCCAGUUAUUAGCAAACGCAGACAGAAAGUGCCGCCAGUAUUAUCAGCAGUCUACCAGCGCCUUCCCCGCUGCAGAAACGACAGAACUAAGGGCUGUUCUGGGGCCGCCUCCCCUGCACAGACGCAGAGAGCACCACGUGCCACAGGUGGGGACAGGUGUUCAGAGGGCGCCCUGCUGCCAACGAUCACAGGAAGGCAUCGCUGCUUUCCUCUGCGUAGAGCCUGCUUGCUGUCUCCAGUCUGAAGGCUGCGCAGUCCCAUCCUGGGCCCCGUCCUCCCCUCCAGCCAGAAGGCCUUUGGGUGCCUUGGCGCCCCAGCUCGGGGGUGGUCCUGGCCCAAGGCAGAGGGAGGAGAUCCGCUAACUUGAUGGGGAAGCAGAGCACAGAGCUCACCUUGAGGGAGCUCCCUCGGCUGGCUUUCCUGUUAGGGGAGGAGUGGGGGGUACAGGGGUUCAAGAGGUGCCUUCUCCAGGCGGAGGCUGUGGCACUGAGCUGAUGCUAACUGCCCUCCCCGCCUCCCAGCUGCUCCUGACCCUGCCUCCCUGCCCGCCACCUCGCUGUGGCGGCCUCCGAAUAGUCUCGGGCUCAAGAAGUAAUAUGACAAUCAAAACCUAGAUAGAAACCCUGGGACAGAUGAGGAGACCAAGAGGCAAGAGCGUGUCUCUGGAACACAGAAGCACCCACGCGACACGGGGCCCAGCCGCGCUCCUAGCACUUCCUAGUCUUAGGAUCUGAAGGCACUGGCUCGGAAGGAGCAGGGCCGCGGCGGAGGUGGGGCUUCAAGUCGGACGCGUGCGGAAUCCUGCAGGCUCCCUGUCGGGCUGUGUGCGAGUCUGAGAGGUCAGAAGGGCGCCUCUUUGUCUCGAGUUGGACGGGGGAGCUCGUGUGUCAGUCUCUCCACGAAGACGGUCCUCCCUGGCCUCGAGUCUUCCCACAGCGCCUGGAAGACGGCGGCCACCUGCCCCCCGAAGGGACGUCUUCCAAAGCCGGGUCAUGGGACUCUGCCUUUCCCCAGACCUGCCACCGCACAGCCCGGCCCUCGGGAGAUGAGGUCUUGUUUCAUAGAAUCAGAACCACACAGACGUACGUGACCAAGGUAGAAUUCGCCACCCUUUAGCCUGUAUCCCAAAGGCAACGGGACACUUAAUUGGCACUGGCAUUCUAACUGAUGAUACCCUCAGGGAGAUGCAGAGAAUAUGAAAAGGAGCCACACCUAUGGCAAAGCAGCAAAACAAUCAUCACAGGAAAUCUUCAGUUUCAUCAGGUAGCUCACAGGGCUGCCAACUCUCCCAAGUCAAAUUGGGUUCCCCGUCCCUCCCAGCCACCCUGUCGAGGGCAGACAGUUCCCGGACCCGCCACCAGGUAGAGCGGGUCCACACAGCCGACUCGGUCCCCCGAGUGUUUCUUGGCCACCGAGCAGCACUCCCUGUGCUGCGUCCAAUAACCAAGCGAUGACUUUGUCCGCCCUUGCAGUAGCCUGUCCCCAGCUUUCUGACCCAGCGCUUGGCUCAGACUCCUGACCUCUGCCCUGACCCAAGGACGACCGUGCUCACCGUGGGUCACCCUCGCCCUGCCUGCCGCUAGAACACCCAGCACGCGGGAGGAGGGAGGAACAGAGCCUGGGUCACUCUGGGGCAGUUUAGAUGCUGUGAAGUUAAGCCUGUUGGAAGUGUACUUGUUGGAGCUCGUUGUGCUGUAACAUUGUUUGUUGACUGUAGUGUUAGGUAGGUAUGAACGUAUGGCUGUAAUUUCUGACAACAUCCGAAAAUAAAAUCUUCCUAAAUCA